CAGGAUGAACGCUAGCGACAGGCUAACACAUGCAAGUCGAGGGGCAGCAUAAAAGUAGCAAUACUUGGUGGCGACCGGCGCACGGGUGAGUAACGCGUAUGCAACCUACCUAUCAGAGGGGAAUAACCCGGCGAAAGUCGGACUAAUACCGCAUAAAACAGGGGCACCGCAUGGUGAUAUUUGUUAAAGAGAUUCGCUGAUAGAUGGGCAUGCGUUCCAUUAGGUAGUUGGUGAGGUAACGGCUCACCAAGCCGACGAUGGAUAGGGGAACUGAGAGGUUGGUCCCCCACACUGGUACUGAGACACGGACCAGACUCCUACGGGAGGCAGCAGUGAGGAAUAUUGGUCAAUGGGCGGGAGCCUGAACCAGCCAAGUCGCGUGAAGGAAGAAGGAUCUAUGGUUCGUAAACUUCUUUUGCAGGGGAAUAAAGUGCAGGACGUGUCCUGUUUUGUAUGUACCCUGAGAAUAAGGAUCGGCUAACUCCGUGCCAGCAGCUGC
rnacentral:rRNA from 1 species